rnacentral:rRNA from 1 species
UGGGGAAUAUUGCGCAAUGGGGGGAACCCUGACGCAGCAACGCCGCGUGAAGGAUGAAGGCUUUCGGGUUGUAAACUUCUUUGAUGAGGGACGAAAGAAAUGACGGUACCUCAAAAACAAGCCACGGCUAACUACGUGCCAGCAGCCGCGGUAAUACGUAGGUGGCGAGCGUUGUCCGGAAUUACUGGGUGUAAAGGGCGUGUAGGCGGGGAUGCAAGUCAGAUGUGAAAUGCCGGGGCUUAACUCCGGAGCUGCAUCUGAAACUGUGUUUCUUGAGUGUCGGAGAGGAAAGCGGAAUUCCCAGUGUAGCGGUGAAAUGCGUAGAUAUUGGGAGGAACACCAGUGGCGAAGGCGGCUUUCUGGACGAUAACUGACGCUGAGGCGCGAAAGCGUGGGGAGCAAAACAGGAUUAGAUACCCUGGUAGUCCACGCUGUAAACGAUGGAUACUAGGUGUAGGAGGUAUCGACCCCUUCUGUGCCGGAGUUAACACAAUAAGUAUCCACCUGGGGAGUACGGCCGCAAGGUUGAAACUCAAAUGAAUUGACGGGGGUCAUAGCUGUUUCCU